GACGAACGCUGGCGGCGUGCUUAACACAUGCAAGUCGAACGGAAAGACCGCUUUCGUGGGGUACUAGUGUUGCACGCGGGCGUAUAACGUGGGCAUACCCCGCCCAUCUCUUUGAGAUAACUAAGAAAAAGGGGCUAUAACUGCUGAUGACCGCUGCUGCCACCGGCUGGGGGUUGGAAGGUUUAUGCGGUUGGGGUUGGCCUCGCGGCUAAUCAGCUUGUUGUUGGGUUAUUGGCUAACCAGGGCUCCGCCGGGUAGCCGGCCUGGGAGGGUGACGGGCCACACUGGGACUGAGAGACGGCCCAGACUCCUACGGGAGGCAGCAGUGGGGAAUAUUGCGCAAUGGGGGGAAGCCUGAGGCAGCGACGCCGCGUGCGGGAUGACGGCCUUCGGGUUGUAAACCGCUUUCGGCAAAGACGAAGCUGUAGUGACGGUACCUGCAGAAAAAGCACCGGCCAACUACGUG
rnacentral:rRNA from 1 species